rnacentral:pre_miRNA from 2 species
GUAAUCCCUAGAGUUCCCUUAAACAUUUCAUUAAGGACUCAAUUUCUUCUCUUCAACCUUGUUGAAGCGUUUGGGGGAACUCCCGGAAUCAC